rnacentral:rRNA from 1 species
GGGUCAGUAGGUUGGUCGUGCCACCGGUACGUACUGGUCUCACUGAUUCCUCCUUCCUGAAGAACCGUAAUGCCAUUAAUUUGGUGUUGCGGGGAAACAGGACUGUUACUUUGAAAAAAUUAGAGUGUUUAACGCAAGCUAACUCUUGAAUACAUUAGCAUGGAGUAAUGAAAUAGGACGAUCGACCCUAUUUUGUUGGUUUCUAGGAUUGACGUA